rnacentral:misc_RNA from 1 species
GCGCUGCAACUGAAUCAAUCACAAUUAGCCUAACAGGAAAAUGGGUUUUAGAAUUUCCAAUAAACGAUUCUAUCUUGGGCAUCAUAUCGAGCAGUUGAUCUGCAGAGUGUACACUUUGUACAUAUAUAUUGUCACAUGGAUUACAAUUACCAUUCUUACUACUAUUAACGGCAUCACUAAUAAAAACUUGAGGGUAUAAAGAUUGGAAACAAUGGGACAGUUGGUUGAGGCGGCGAAACGGAAAAGAAAAUUCGGUGUGGAAGUAGAGAGCGGAAGCAGAGAGGCCGCCUAGGGAGACUGGGAGUUGAGCGCAGAGGGAGAGUUGCAGGCAGAGUUGCGUCUUGCCGGAGCCGCUUUCGGCAACAAUUUCUGUGAUUGAAUUGCAUGGGACACCGCCGCUGAGACAGCGGUCCAGGAUGGGGCAACCGAGGGUGCAUUUUUGGGAGGGGAA